rnacentral:misc_RNA from 1 species
UCCCGGUUAACCCGGGCAGUCUCGUUAGAGUUCCCAUCCUAAAUGUUGGCAACUAACGAUAAGGGUUGCGCUCGUUGCGGGACUUAACCCAACACCUCACGGCACGAGCUGACGACAGCCAUGCAGCACCUGUGCACAGGCCCCGAAGGGCGUUAAUAUCUCUACUAACUUCCUGUGCAUGUCAAGCCUGGGUAAGGUUCUUCGCGUUGCAUCGAAUUAAACCACAUGCUCCACUGCUUGUGCGGGUCCCCGUCAAUUCUUUUGAGUUUCAGCCUUGCGACUGUACUCCCCAGGCGGUAUACUUAACGCGUUAGCUACGGCACAGCCAGGGUUGAUUCCAGCUACACCAAGUAUACAUCGUUUACGGCAAGGACUAC